GGUGGGGUUGGGGUUGGGGAGGAUGGUGGUGUCUGGAGGUUGUUGCCUUUGCACGCUGCUUCUCCACCACUCUGUACCCUUAUUUCGUACUUUUCGUUGGGGGGGAGAGGAGGAAUAGUGAAAAACGAGCCUGCGACAAGAUACUGACAGCUUUGGCCUAUUCAAUGAACUCUCCUUCGCUGGUGUCCAAGACUUUCCAGGACCCGUGAACUGGCAUAAGCCAGCGGCGGGGGCCUCCGCAUCCGUUUUCGCGAGCUAUGGCGCUCAAUCGCCCAUUGAUCAGUUUGUGCAGUAUAAAAUAUUAAUACAAUUGCAUGAGAGAGAGCUGCGAGAGAGACCCGGGCCGCCGUCUUCAUUACAAUUGCUAAUAGCGGCCGCUGAAUUGCUCUCCGUAAACUUUGCAUAACAGGGAGAGACUAGGGCUAGCUCUUCAGUCAGCUAGAGAGUUCCUAGAGGGAGUUAACGUACGGGAAGUCAAGAAGCUCUCUCGGUUCCUCUUCUGGCCACUGAACGGCCAAGCCGCGCGCUCCACUGCAGGAGUCGGUGCCAGGAUGUUCGGGUGGGGACGGUGCUGGUGGUGUGAGGAUGCGGCGACCAGGGAACACUUCAUAAAGCGGAACGAGUGCGGAAAGGUGACUUUUCCGCUUGGUGGCAGCUGAGUGGUCAAGGGUCAGUGAGGCGGAGGCUGCAUCGUGACGUACGAGGCGAGGGAGGUGGGAGGAGAGUGGGGCGAUGAAUGACCUGAUGUCCAAGGUUUUUUGAGCAUGUCUGCGUGCUGUCCAUGUCGGACAGGGAGGGAAUAACGGAUUACAACGAGAGACAUGCAGGAUUACGAAGGCCAUGUCGGAUGAUGGAGAUCUUGGGUGGAAGUGUUCGCUGGAAGGACUUACAGAAAAACGUUGCGAUGACUACGUUGUCAAGGAUGACGAUGUCGAGGUGUAUGUACCCUCCGGCAUGGGAGUGAGUGACGUGUCUGUGACAAACUGGCGCCCAGCCAUAGAGGAUGUCUGAACACUCCCCUGCACCUAACCCUCCUCCCCACCCAGAAAUAAAGUGUGUGUUUUGCUGCAGGUGCUGUGGAAUGGAGUGCAGGCACCUGACCGCCGACAUUGCAGGCCCAAGAAAAGACAACUCGUGUACAGGUUGUGCAACGACUGACGUCCCCCUGAAGUGAGAGACACUGGGUUGUCUCGUUGUGCGCGCUGAGGGGUACGUGUGGUGGGGGACUGACGUCAAGGAGAUGAUGAUUAAUGACGACGGUCUGAACGAUGGCGGCGAGGUGCUGCAUGAGAAAAGGUGUGGGACCGUGUCGCUGCGCACACGCCCGGGCUGGACAGCAACACCUUACCGGAAGUGUGACGUGCAGCUGCUUGACGAACGGUGGGCGGGCAGGCUGUCAGCAGGCGUCACCUGCUAAUGGAUACCACAUCUCUUGAUUUACUCGUCUCUCGCAGGUUUUACUCUUCUGUGAUGCCUUGUGGGAUCGUGAGGUCGGAUGGAGGACAUCUGCACCGGAAGUACGUAACGUGAUAAAGGGACAUCACUGAAGCCUUGGGAUUUCAGAAGAAUUCUUGCUUGUCCUAGUGCUUGGGACUACUCUCCAUCUCCACAGACGCCUACUUUCCUCAUACCCCGUGGUCGGACCGCCAAGCCUGUUGACGGAGCGGCAGCGCGGAUUCCGCUGACCAACCGACGACGGCCCGCAAACGGUUGGCGAGUGCAGUGGCGUCACGCAAGCCUCCCAUCCGUCAGCCGCCGACGUGGACCUUGUCAGAAAGUUGUUCCUGGUGGGUGACCUGCUUGUGAGGUCAGGAGAGCGGUCAUCACAAAGAAAGGUGGAAAGCCUGAUGAACGCACUGUCCCGUGGAUGACCUCUACAUCAUCAUUGACCACCGACGUCUGGCUCGAUGUCUGGACGGAAAGAUGUCGAGAUAAGCACUGUGUGAAGAGUUUCGUCUGGCGUGCACCCGAGUCUACACGAGAAGCAGUCUCACUAAAGUGUUUCGUUAUCACUGGCGCCGCUUGACUGAACAGCACCCCGAAGACACCUUGAUGUACCCCGUGCAAAUCUCCUUUGAUGAGGGUGACUGAGUUCUGCCUGGGACCUGAGCCUGGCCGCCCCUCUACCCUCAGGCGGGUGCACGGAGGAGGUCGACAUGGGUCAUAGCCUCAUUUCGCCGUGACGAUGACCUUCUAAGCCCAACUGUCAUCAUCAUUAUCAUCAGCGGCUGUCUUUGGGUUGGGAGGGGGAGUUAUUGCGAUUUUACUGAUAGGACACAGGUGAUAUUUAUAUAUAGACAGCGAGUGUAAUGAAACGGAACAGCUAUGUUUACCUCUGGUGUCAACAACGACAACAAAUUGAUGAAAAUAAUGUCCUUUAUGCGCAGUCAUCGUAGUAUAAGAAAUCAAGGACUGUUUGGUAUUACAUUGUAAUAAAAUUAUUUUUUUCCGGAAACAAUUGUACAAGAAUGAGGAUGUUUCCCAUGAUGCCAUGUUAUUGUACUUGAACUUUAAUAAACUUUUUUCACUUAAACUGAUUAUAGAUGAACAGACUGGCAAUAAUAAAUAAAUCUGAUGGUUUCUAUCAGUAUUUCUGUGCA